rnacentral:rRNA from 1 species
GAUGAACGCUGGCGGCGUGCCUAAUACAUGCAAGUCGAGCGAACAGACGAGGAGCUUGCUCCUCUGACGUUAGCGGCGGACGGGUGAGUAACACGUGGAUAACCUACCUAUAAGACUGGGAUAACUUCGGGAAACCGGAGCUAAUACCGGAUAAUAUAUUGAACCGCAUGGUUCAAUAGUGAAAGACGGUUUUGCUGUCACUUAUAGAUGGAUCCGCGCCGCAUUAGCUAGUUGGUAAGGUAACGGCUUACCAAGGCAACGAUGCGUAGCCGACCUGAGAGGGUGAUCGGCCACACGGGAACUGAGACACGGUCCUGACUCCUACGGGAGGCAGCAGUAGGGAAUCUUCCGCAAUGGGCGAAAGCCUGACGGAGCAACGCCGCGUGAGUGAUGAAGGUCUUCGGAUCGUAAAACUCUGUUAUUAGGGAAGAACAAAUGUGUAAGUAACUAUGCACGUCUUGACGGUACCUAAUCAGAAAGCCACGGCUAACUACGUG